AUGGCGCUGGGAUUCACCAGGUUUGAUUUGGAGAAAUUCGAUGGCACGGGUAACUUCGGUCUAUGGCAAACAAGAGUCAAGGAUAUUCUGGCGCAGCAGGGAAUCUUGAAGGGUUUGCAGGAGACGAAGCCGGCCAAGGUUGACAAUGAUGCGUGGGAGGAUAUGCAAGUGCAGGCGGCCGCUACCAUACGGCUUUGUCUUGCGGAUCAGGUCAUGUAUCAUGUCAUGGACGAAGAUUCUCCUAAGGGAAUUUGGGACAAGUUGGCAAAUCGUUAUAUGUCCAAGUCAGCGACCAAUAAGCUGUAUUUGAAGCAAAAGUUUUAUGGGCUGAAGAUGCAGGAGGGGUCAGAUCUUAUGGAGCAUGUGAACGCCUUUAAUCAA
rnacentral:rRNA from 1 species